GCCCUGCAGGUAGUGGCUGGGGCUGGUUGUACGGGCCUCGCGCCCAAGGGCUGCCUGCCUCGCGGCGCCCUCAGUGCUCGGCUGCCCGUCGGCCAGCAGAGGACAGCGCUCCCUCCCGAUGCCUCCUCGCCUUGGCUGCUGAUCCCGAGCUGUGUGCCGAGCCGGUGGACAGACUGCGAGCAGGAGUUUUGGAUCAAGCUCUUAUUGAAAAGUGGCUGAAAACAAGAGUUCUGGGAUAGCAGAGAACUUCAGCAGAGCUUUGAUUUUUUGCCUGUUUAAUUCCAACUCAGUUGUCUCUUCUGGAUCCUGAAUUCUGAAAAGAUGAUUGCAGAUAAAAGCUCUUCAAGACACAUGAAUUGUGCUUGCAAUGUCUAUGAACAUUAGCAGAACAUCUGUUCCAGACUCGACUUGAAGGCAAGGACUGUGUAGAUGGCUGCCAACAAGCUUCGAUCAUGCACAGAGGAAAACAACAAGGACUAGACCGAGUGGAUUCAGAAGAGUACUGUCUCACAUCAGAUGAAGACAGAAUCAUGUGAAGGUCUGUCUCUACAUCAUGCAGCAUUCAUCCAUGUGCAUGUGCAAACACACACAGACACGCACACAUACACAUCUAUCUGUCUAUAUAUAAUCUUCAGCGGAAGCUCAUGCAUAGGGGAAAUUCUGGGAAUAAUUAAGAAAAGGAUACUGCAUCCUCCAGCAGACGGAAUACAUCUUUUUCA